rnacentral:lncRNA from 1 species
CUGACUUCUUUAAUUCUUCAUCCUCAUUCUCCAGGUGGACCCUGACUUCUUCAAUUGUCAUCCUCAUUUUCCAGGUGGACGCCUGACUUCUUCUUUUCUUCGUCCUCAUUCUCCAGGUGGACGCCUGACUUCUUUAAUUCUUCAUCCUCAUUCUCCAGGUGGACGCCUGACUUCUUCUUUUCUUUGUCCUCAUUCUCCAGGUGGACGCCUGACUUCUUUUUCUUUGUCCUCAUUCUCCAGGUGGACGCCUGACUUCUUUAAUUCUUCGUCCUCAUUCUCCAGGUGGACGCCUGACAUCUUUAAUUCUUCACCAUGUAUUUCCUAACAUAAAUAUUGUAUUUGCCCCUGUUUUAAAUCAAAGAAAACUUCGUUAGUUUAAAGCAAGGUGGUUGACUGGGGUAUUCUUGCCGAUUGUGAUGCUCCUCUUCGUCUCUCUUUAUUGCCUUGGAAUGGUUUAAAAGACUGU